rnacentral:rRNA from 1 species
UACAGAGGUCCCAAGCGUUGUUCGGAUUCACUGGGCGUAAAGGGUGCGUAGGUGGUCAGGUAAGUCUGAUGUGAAAGCUCUGGGCUCAACCCAGAAAUGGCAUUGGAUACUAUCUGGCUAGAGGAAUGGAGGGGGGACUGGAAUACUUGGUGUAGCAGUGAAAUGCGUAGAUAUCAAGUGGAACACCAGUGGCGAAGGCGAGUCCCUGGACAUUUCCUGACACUGAGGCACGGAAGCUAGGGGAGCAAACAGG